rnacentral:lncRNA from 1 species
UUCAUAUCAUGUGAUGGAUAAAAAUAUAGCUCCAAUUAACUUAUAGAGGGAUUGAGAGGAAAAGAGGGGAUGCCUUUCGGGGCAUCCCCAAGCUUAGACGCUUUAGUAUUACUAGAAUAUUACCUUGGGUGCCCUGGAAAUCCCAAGCUUGGUCUUUUGCUGCUCCUCAAUCCUUUCUCCAUCGGGACAAUACCCAAAACUUGAAAACUACAGUCACAUAAAACUCACAAAAACUUCGUGAGAUCCGUUGGUAUAAGCAACAUAUCAAAUACUUUUAGGUGUUGUUACAAAUUGAUUCUUAUUUUACUUUGGCAUAGGGUACUGUAUCUAAAC